CGGGACACCCUUCAGGGCUAGGCUGGCGCCACUUUAAAAAGCGACUCCUGGAGUUCCCGUCGUGGCGCAGUGGUUAAUGAAUCCGACUAGGAACCAUGAGGUUGCGGGUUCAGUCCCUGCCCUUGCUCAGUGGGUUAACGAUCCGGCGUUGCCGUGAGCUGUGGUGUAGGUCGCAGACGCGGCUCGGAUCCCACGUUGCUGUGGCUCUGGCAUAGGCCGGGGGCUGCAGCUCCGAUUAGACCCCUAGCCUGGGAACCUCCAUAUGCCGCGGGAGCAGCCCAAGAAAUGGCAAAAAGACAAAAAAAAUAAAAAAAUAAAAAUCGACUCCUCCAACAAAAAGCACAAAAAUGUGGAAAACUCGACACUAAACAGACCAUAUUUGGAGCAUGAAAUUAAACAGGAACGCAGAGGAGUUCCCAUGUGACUCAGUGGGUUAAGGAUCCAGCCCUGUCACUGCUGUGGCUCAGGCCGCUGCCGUGGCUGGCCUGGGAACUUCCACAUGCUGCGGGCUUGGCCAAAGAAAACGCAAAACAAGAAAGCAGAGAGUAUCGCCUCGUCCGAACUCAGCGCAAGACUCAAAGUCUUUGCCCCUCUGGUCGUGUCGGCAAACGACUGUGAACUUUCGCAGGGAGGCAAAUUCCCAAAUACAGAAUCUGUGAACGAGGGGCCUCUCCCGGGUGUGGAGUGUGGAGCCAAGAAGCAGAGGCUCUGACCAGCUUGAGGCUCUGACUAAUCCACCUGCCCACGGGCCCUUCUGAGAGUCUGGAUCCAGGUCCCGCAGAGCCAGGCAAGGGCCCUGACGACAUCCACCUCCUCCCAGGAGAGGGUGUUGAGGCUACAGUGGCCAAAGCUGCCAGGCUACAGAGGACGAGGGACAGGCGGGGAUGCUGGGAGGAGCAGGCCCGGGGCCAGAGCCUGCAGCUGCCCAAGAUGCCAGAUGCUCCGUAGCACAGCUGGGUGCUCAGUUCUCACUCACCAGCCGCUGGAUCAACAAACACGCCCACUGACCACAGCCUGCUGCCGCCAGGGCCGGGUUGGGAAAGCGAUGAGUCAGAGGCGGGCGCUUCCACCCCCGCCCCCAGGAGGCGCCAAUGCCCUACACCACCUGCGGGGAUCCAGGAGGGCGUGGAGGGGCCCGAACCCGGCUCCGGAGGACAGGAAGGCCUGCAGGAGGAAGCCAGGUGGCUCCCAGGGUCCAGGAGACGGGCAGGGAGCUGGGCGGGGGUCGGGGGGUACCAGCCAGGGUCACAGGCAGAGGCACGCCCAGGGAGCAAGGGCUCUGGUGCAUUCCAAGAACGGUGGAGUCCCCAUCAAGGAGUGGCUGCCACAUUCGCACGUCUCCAGGCUGGAAGGUGUCCAGGAGCCAGUGCAGCCUCCCAGGCGGCUCACGUGGGGGCACGCCCAGCACUCAGGGCCCUCAUUCAACCCCCGGCCUGGUGCCAGAAGCUGCUCUGGAGCUGGAGCCAAGCCAAGGGGACUUCCGGGGGCCUGGCCCCUGGGCUGGGAGGGGCUGCACAUGCUGGGAGGCCUUCUCGGCCUAACCCCCACCUGACAGGGGCACCCUGGGCACCCAGGGCGUGUGGUUGGCCCUGGGGCAGAAGCCAGAGCCAGGCUGUGAAGCCACCUGGGCCCUGCACCCUUCGCUCUGCUCUAAGUCCUCAUCAGGAGUCCUCCGCCCCCCCACCCCCACCCCCGCGGUCCAACCACGGCAGGUCUCAGGACCCAUCUGACGAGACAAAACCAGCAGGGAAGACAUUUGACGCCCUUGUGCUCCUCCAGCCUGGAAACCUUCAGCGGUACCUGGCAUCCUCUUUCAAAAGGGGAAACUGAGGCCCAGCAGCUCAGGUCCCGUCCCAGCCUGAGGGCACACACAUCUGGCGGGGAGGCUGUCUUCUCCAUCAGACUGGG
rnacentral:lncRNA from 9 species